UCGCGGCUUAUCACCGGCAGUCCCCUUAGAGUGCCCAACUAAAUGAUGGCAACUAAAGGCGAGGGUUGCGCUCGUUGCGGGACUUAACCCAACAUCUCACGACACGAGCUGACGACAGCCAUGCAGCACCUGUCUCCGCGCCCCAUGCGGGGACCACCCAUCUCUGGGUGUAGCACGGGAUGUCAAGGCCUGGUAAGGUUCUGCGCGUUGCGUCGAAUUAAACCACAUGCUCCACCGCUUGUGCGGGCCCCCGUCAAUUCCUUUGAGUUUCAGCCUUGCGGCCGUACUCCCCAGGCGGAGUGCUUAUUGGGUUUCCUUCGGCACAGAGGGCUUGACGCCCCCAACACCUAGCACUCAUCGUUUACGGCGUGGACUAC
rnacentral:misc_RNA from 1 species